rnacentral:tRNA from 2 species
GGUCCAGUAGUGUAGCGGUUAUCACGUCGCCCUGUCACGGCGAAGAUCGCGGGUUCGAUUCCCGUCGGGACCG